rnacentral:tRNA from 1 species
GCCUGGGUGGCUCAGUCGCUUGAGCAUCUGACUUCGGCUCAGGUCAUGAUCUCACAGUUUGUGGGUUCGAGCCCCGUGUCAGGCU